GCAGCAGCCACGGUAAUACGGAGGGUGCAAGCGUUAAUCGGAAUUACUGGGCGUAAAGCGUGCGUAGGCGGCUUCUUAAGUCGGAUGUGAAAUCCCUGAGCUUAACUUAGGAAUUGCAUUCGAUACUGGGAAGCUAGAGUAUGGGAGAGGAUGGUAGAAUUCCAGGUGUAGCGGUGAAAUGCGUAGAGAUCUGGAGGAAUACCGAUGGCGAAGGCAGCCAUCUGGCCUAAUACUGACGCUGAGGUACGAAAGCAUGGGGAGCAAACAGGAUUAGAUACCCCGGUAGUCCCUGUCUCUUAUAC
rnacentral:rRNA from 1 species